rnacentral:rRNA from 1 species
CUGGCUCAGGAUGAACGCUAGCUACAGGCUUAACACAUGCAAGUCGAGGGGCAGCAGAUCGAAAGCUUGCUUUUGAUGCUAGGCGACCGGCGCACGGGUGAGUAACGCGUAUCCAACCUUCCCUAUAGUAGAGAAUAGCCCGGCGAAAGUCGGAUUAAUGCUCUAUGUUGAUUUAGAGGACAUCUGAAGAAUACCAAAGGUUUACCGCUAUAGGAUGGGGAUGCGUCUGAUUAGGUAGUAGGCGGGGUAACGGCCCACCUAGCCGACGAUCAUAGGGGUUCUGAGAGGAAGGUCCCCCACAUUGGAACUGAGACACGGUCCAAACUCCUACGGGAGGCAGCAGUGAGGAAUAUUGGUCAAUGGACGGAAGUCUGAACCAGCCAAGUAGCCGUGCAGGAUGACGGCCCUAUGGGUUGUAAACUGCUUUUAUAUAGGGAUAAAGUCGGGGACGUGUCCCCGUUUGUAGGUACUAUAUGAAUAAGGACCGGCUAAUUCCGUGCCAGCAGCCGC